rfam:Schistocephalus solidus strain NST_G2 genome assembly, scaffold: SSLN_scaffold0001204
GACCUCGUAGCUCAGUUGGUUAGAGAGUUGGCUGUACUAAAGCCUUCCCCUAACUGGCGUAGGUUCCAAUCCCACCGAGGUCG